rnacentral:rRNA from 1 species
UACGAAGGGGGCUAGCGUUACUCGGAUUGACUGGGCGUAAAGGGCGCGUAGGCGGAUGGUACAGUCAGACGUGAAAUUCCUGGGCUCAACCUGGGGGCUGCAUUUGAUACGUGUUGUCUAGAGUGAGGAAGAGGGUCGUGGAAUUCCCAGUGUAGAGGUGAAAUUCGUAGAUAUUGGGAAGAACACCGGUGGCGAAGGCGGCGACCUGGUCCUUGACUGACGGCUGAGGCGCGAAAGCGUGGGGGAGCAAACAGG